UACGAAGGGGGCUAGCGUUGCUCGGAAUUACUGGGCGUAAAGCGCACGUAGGCGGUGUGUCACGUCGGCCGUGAAAACCUGCAGCUUAACUGUGGGCGUGCGGUCGAUACGGGCAUCACUGGAGUUCGGCAGGGGAGACUGGAAUUCCUGGUGUAGCGGUGAAAUGCGCAGAUAUCAGGAGGAACACCAGUGGCGAAGGCGGUGCUCUGGGCCGGAACUGACGCUGAGGAGCGAAAGCGUGGGUAGCAAACAGG
rnacentral:rRNA from 1 species